CUCCAUCAUAAUGUGCCCUCUUUAAUUUUGUUAUGCAUGGCUGGCCCAAGCAAAUUAAAACACAAAAACUUUCUCAAUAGACCAAAAUUUCUUUUUCAAAUUGACACUAAAUUCGUAACAGUGCGACGUAGUUGUGAAGAUUCCGACGAUGUUUAUUACAAAGAUGAUAAGAGAAGAUAUUCAGAGCCAAGCGUCAUUAUUAUUAGCAGUGAUGAGGAAAUUGAUUCGCCCGAAAAGGAAAUAUAUGUGACGUUUUCAACCAAAAGGUACCACAUUGUCGCUUGUCGAUAAGGUUGAUUUCUAAUUGAAGCUAUAUGGAAAGAGCGCCUUACUGACAAGCGACAAUAAGUACCCUUUUGGUUGAAAAUGGCGCAUAUUUCACAGAUAAAGAUGGCCUUGCGAAGCGGAGGUGCGGUUUUAGAAGCGGAUAUCAGCAAGAGCCCUCGAUUUAUUACAAGCUUUUAUUUAACUUGCAAUGUACCUAUGUAAGUAUGUAUGUAACAUGUUUGUAAGGGUCAAAUCUUGCAAAUUAAAUUUGACCCACUUCCCGGUUUCCGAUGAAGCUGAAAAUUUGCAUACAUAUGUAAGUCGGCUGUAUGUCAAUGCAAUAUUAUGGUACCAUCGAGCUGAUCUGAUGAUGAAGACAAGAGGUGGUCAUAGGAACUCUGUGAUAAAACAACGCAACCUAAUUGUGAUUGGAGCUUUUAGAAUUGUCUUGAUGAGUA